UUAUGUGCGCCGAAGUGCAAAGGAGGUAUGGGAUUUAGAGACAUUCGCUAUUUUAAUUUGGCUCUUCUAGCAAAACAAGCAUGGAGGUUAAUAGAUAAUCCAGAUUCUUUGUGUGGUACAGUUCUGAAGGCAAAGUAUUUUCCUAGUGGAGAUUUGCUCAAUGCUAAAUUAAAAAAAAGGGAGCUUCCUUCCUAG
rnacentral:rRNA from 1 species